rnacentral:rRNA from 1 species
GACGAACGCUGGCGGCGUGCUUAACACAUGCAAGUCGAACGGAAAGGCCCUGCUUUUGUGGGGUGCUCGAGUGGCGAACGGGUGAGUAACACGUGAGUAACCUGCCCUUGACUUUGGGAUAACUUCAGGAAACUGGGGCUAAUACCGGAUAGGAGCUCCUGCUGCAUGGUGGGGGUUGGAAAGUUUCGGCGGUUGGGGAUGGACUCGCGGCUUAUCAGCUUGUUGGUGGGGUAGUGGCUUACCAAGGCUUUGACGGGUAGCCGGCCUGGGAGGGUGACCGGCCACAUUGGGACUGAGAUACGGCCCAGACGCCUACGGGAGGCAGCAGUGGGGAAUAUUGCACAGUGGGCGGAAGCCUGAUGCAGCAACGCCGCGUGCGGGAUGACGGCCUUCGAGUUGUAAACCGCUGUCGCCUGUGACGAAGCGUGAGUGACGGUAAUGGGUAAAGAAGCACCGGCUAACUACGUG